UUGACCUCAAAUCGGGUGAGAMUACCCNCUGAACUUUAAAGCAUAUCAAUAA
rnacentral:rRNA from 1 species